UGUAACUUAAUUCUUCUUUUCCCUCUAUUUUAAGAACAUUUUCCUUGACUGACAGAAUUUUAGGUACUCAUAUUUCUUUGGUUCUGAAUAUUCCAAUAGUUCAAUAGUCAUUCCAUAACAAUAGUCAUUAUAAUGGCCAACAGAGGCCACUAUAAAGCUUGGGGAAAGAGGUAGAGAAUACAGCAUCUAGCAAGGUACAGUGCUAGGUUAAUACAUCAACCCAAAUCUGGUUAAGUCUAGACAUAAAUAGUUGGUUUGUAAAGUGAGUUUAUUGCCUGAUGACAUCAUGGAAAACUACUAUGAAUGAAAAAUGUUAUGCAUAAAAGGGUGGGAGGAAAAAAAGCUUUAUCACUAUAGUCUCAACAUUAUCUUAUGUGGGAUUGCAAAGACAACCAAAUCCUAAAGGAAGGGCCUUCAUCACAAGAGGUUAGUUAACAAUCAAGUUGGGAAUAAGUUAAGGAACAAACCACAUGGUACUCCUAGAUACAGCACAGUAAAAACUGCUGGCUAGAAUGAGUGCUGAGGACUUUACUGAGGAGGUGAGUACCUGAGGCAGACUAUGAAAGGUGAUGGCAGGUAGCAAAGGGGACAGGAAGGAAUUCAGAGGCAGCAUGAUCAAAGGCACAGAAGUGGGAAUCAAUCGCUCUCUCUCUUUCUUUCAUUUAACCACCAAGGAGCUCCAAGUCUUGGGCUAGUUACCUAAUGACUCUGUGCCUCAGUUUCCUCUUCUGUAAAAUGUGCAUAUGAACAGCAUGUGCCUCAUAGGCCCACAACAUGAGCUAGCAUAUGUUAAGCACUUAGAACAGGGCCUGGCAUCGUAAGAGUGAUCUGGAGAGGCCAACACAAAAUGUCCAGCAUGGAAAUGAAUCACAGAGACGAGACUUGCCAAGGGAAACUGAAUGAAUGAGGGGAAGGAGUUUAAAAGGUGCCAAGAGUUUCCAAUAAUGCACAAAUAACCCUCACUGACUGCCCUUUCAAUGCUCAACUCUGCUGUUCUAGGUGCUGGGAAUACAAUGCUGAACAAAACUAAGUCACAAUACUUAGAAAAAUUAUAUUGUAUGGUGGAGGUGACAGAGAAAGGAAGAAAAGAAGAAGAAGAAGAAAAGGAAGGAAGGUAGUGAGUGCCACAAAGUGACAGAUGUAUGGUAGAUAGCUGUAUUAGUAUUAACUAUCAGCUCUCUAAGAAGGUGACACUAGAGCUGAGGCCAGGGGUCAAGGACAUUGUUGGUUGUAUGAAAACUUGUAGGGAGAGGGCUAGGCAGAAUGGGUCAGCCAGAAUGAGCCUGAGCAGGGCCAACAGAUGCCAUUAUAAACCUUGGGGAAAGAAGUAGACAAUACAGUUUUUCUCAUACUUAUUCUAAUACAGAACCUCUCUUUUUUUUUCAGAGAGCAUCUCCUUAGGGAACUGUUAAAAACAAGGUAAGGUUUAGGGUUAGCAUGUAAGUUUAGUGUUAGAAAUCAGAAAAGGAGUUAUUUGGGAAGGGGGAGACACCAGGAAAGAAAAGCAAUUAUACAUUUUUGAAGCAAUGCUUUGGCAACUGAGUUUGUUUUCCUAUAAAACUAUUUCUGUGCUGGAGUUUAAUGUAAAAUGGUUGUGGGUUUGUGCCCCCAAAUGUCACCUACUUUUGAUAAAUGAGGAGUAGCAACUCAUUAGGGGGAAAAAAAGAGUAUCUAGUGACAAAGGGAUGCUUUCUGUUCAUGAUGGUUUGUACAAUUUAAAAAGAAAAAUGCUUAUUCAAAGUAAAUUGUUACCCAAACCAGAACUCUUCACAAAAAUCCAUAAUCGGAGGCAAACCUUAAUCAGUAAACAAUUCAUAACAGGCCGCCCGCAUUUAUACUUCAUGUAUACACACUCAGCCCAACUGUGCAAAAAACAUUUCUGAUCUGUUUACUCUGGCUUUAACAGUAAGUCAUUUGCCAUUUUAAAAUAAUAUUCAUGUGGUUGGGGUAAAACAUUUAAAAUAUAUACACAAGCAUCUGGAAGGUAAAAUCUUCCAGAUUUGACCACUACCAAACCCAGGAGGUUUUCUCUCUCUUUUUUUCUUUCAACUACUGAAGAAUUUUGAAUAUAACCAUCUCUUGAAUUGUUCUUCGUCAAUUCUGUCAGUAUAUUUCAUAAACUCAAAUCUCCAGAAUAUAACAUCGAUUUAAGAGAUCAAGAGCCUAUCUAGCAACCAGAGAAUUUUUUAAAUUAGUUAAAAGUCUUCUUAUUCUCCUCUUUACAAAUUCAGUGAAAUCUGAGGGUAACUAAAUUCCACAAACAUUACAGAGUGAGCAAACUCAUUAAUAUACUGGCAAAUAUUUAGGUAUCCCUUAUAUUCACGAAAGUAAUAUAUUCAUCUAAGAUACACAAACUGAAUUUUGGUAGACCAAUUAUUAUUAUUAUUUUUUUUUGUACCAGGAAUUGAACUCAGGAGCACUCAACCACUGAGCCACAUCCCCAGCCCUAUUUUGUAUUUUAUUUAUAGACAGGGUCUCACUGAGUUGCUUACCACCUUGCUGUUGCUGAGGCUGGCUUUGAACUCAAGAUCCUCCUGUCUCAGGCUCCCGAGCUGCUGGGAUUGCAGGCAUGCACCACCAUGUGGGUGAUUCAAUUCUAUUUUUAACAGAAUUUAUUGUGAUGCAAAUAAUAAGUACAAAAAUGGGUUUUGAGAUCUUACUUAAGUGUUCUAAUAUUAAAUUCUCUUCACAUUAUCUAUUGUGAAGAAUGAAAUGACAAAGAUGCAUUGUCUACACCUAUUGGUUCACUCUGUGCAACUCAGUGCAGAGCCAUGCACUACUUGACAAGUCUAACUCUGAGCUGACCCUGGUGCAGAGAUAUUUAUCAGAACCAUCACUUUGUGAACUCAGAUGUGGCCUUCCCUACUAAUCUGUUGGGAAAUACUUGCCCAGAAUAGGAUGUGAUUUUUUAAAAUGAAAUCAUCUGAUAUACUGGACCCUAACAAGUCUAAUAACAAGAUUCUGGGCAUGUCCCCAGCCCCUUCAGGUCUCUGCUCUCUGAUGGAGAAUGACAAGGCUAUCACCAAUCUGUUUUCCUGAAAAAUGAGAAAAACAGAAAUCCUGAGAUGUCUUCACAGCCCAAUGUCCCUUUGUCAGGUUCAUUUUUAUUGGUUACUCUUAACCAAUGUCUUGACUUGAAAACUGUCUAGAAUGCCCUGCAUAUCUAAAAUUUGAAAGUACAACUAAAUCUGGUACAAACUUUUCCUUACCACUCAGGGAACUUUGUUUUGUUGCUAUUGCAACAGUUUUCAUAAUCAAGAAAUGUUAGACAACACAUUUAUUAGCAAUAAACAGAGACACGGUUAAGUCAUGCUAUAUACCCUCCUGGCUCAGGCUUAUUCCAAAACCCUAGGAAAUCUCUUCACCAUUUUAGUGUAGAAUGAAGACAGUGUUCCUCACCUCUCUAUUUCCUAUAAGUCAGGAAAGAGGGACACUGAAAUAUGUUUGUAAAGAGCUGAGUGGCUACAAAAUAUAAGCUCUGAAUAGUACAUCUGUAAAUAAGUUCUUACUGACACAUGCUCUUAGUGACAAUCAUUUAGACACAAAGCCCUACUUACAUGAAAGAGGCAAUUAAGAGACACAGUAGCAGUGUGACUAUGUGGCUUUCUCUCAAGAGAACAGAUUCCAGCACUGUCAAUAUGGGCAAAAGAUACAGUGCCUAUCCAAUUAUCGGAGAUGGCUUUGAUCUGAUUCAUGUUUCAGACUCAGUACUGCUGCUCGGAGACCAGCAGAGACAGAAAUUCCUACCCUCUCUUAGGGCCAGUUUUCUGUGUGGAGAAACAAGGUUACAGGAAUACAUGUUUGCGAGGCAUGUUCUCCUCAUGGUCUCCAUCAAAAGAUCCAGUCAUUUGCCAGUAAAUGGAUAGAGCUGGAGAAUAUCAAGCUAAGUGAAAUAAGCCAGUCCCCCAAACCAAUGGCCUAAUGUUUUCUCUGAUAUGCAGAUGCUAAUUCACAAUGAGAGAGGGGGUACUAGGGAAGAAUAGUUACUUUAGGUAGAGGACAGUGAAGGGAAGGGAGGGGAUAGGAAGGAUGGUAGAAUGAAACAGACAUUAUUACCUUAUGUACUUAUAUGACUACAUGACCAAUGUGCCUCUAUAACACGUACAAUCAGAAAAAAUGAGAAAUUAUACCCCAUUUAGGUAUUACAAAGAGCAUACAAAUCCAUUCUACCGUCAUGUAUAACUAAUUAAAACAAAUAAGAAAUUUAAAAAGAUUCAGACAUCAUUUGUGUCUGUUAGCACCUCUGAGCAGGGUGACAUUUCUCUGCUAGUGACCCAGUCACCUUGGGGAAGAAUGUAGCUGCCUGAAGAAAGAAGACACUUGAGGAACUGGAUGUGCACAAGUUCCCCAAACCGCAGUCGACCAACAACAUGCUGUUGCUAUACAGAAAUGGAAAUACAGAGAUUCACAUGACAAAGUUAUCAGCUGGUUGGUGCCAAAUGCCUGAAAGAACAUCUAGCUGGAGCUUCCGUUUGCUUCUGGGAUAAAUUUCAAAUUCCUUAACCUGGCUGGCCAGGCCUUGUUGUCUGGCUGCAGCCUCGUCUGGGUUCAGAGUUCAGCCCUCCCUUUCAAUGUGCCAUUCCACCUGACUCAGCACUACCUCCGCCUCCCACUCAGGUAGGUAUCAGUGAAACAUCACUUCCCAAGGAAAGACCCCUUCCAACUGUGGGAGGUCUUCAGUUCCCUGCCCUCCAGAAUCCCUGCACAGUUCUUCAUAGCAUCUACCACAUGGGUGUUCCCUACAUCUAUCUGCUCUCUGAUAAUUCCAUGAGCUCAGGCCCUUGAGGGCCUUUUCUAGCUUUAGACAAAAGAAAAAUAGGAGGUAGCAUAAUAACAGAGAGAGAAGUGGGCAUGAGCUCAUCUAGAGAACAGCUGGGACCUGGUGGGGACGUCUUCUAGUGUGGCCCUCACCUUGGUCAUCUAUAAAAAUAACCUGUAUUAGACUUUUAAGGCCAAAUUUUCUAUUGGGAAAAAAAAUCUCUGUACACACAUGGAAAGAGCUGGCAAUGCCGCUGGGCUGAAAGAGUUACUA